AAGAACAUUUAAGUACUUUUAUCUCACUACGUGCUGGACUGCAGCAAAAAUACUAUUUACUAAAAGGGAUCAUACCCCUGGAUGAGGUUUUGGAGUCAUGUGACCUCUUCUCAGCGAGAGCACCAGAGCAGGAAGAUAUUUGGAUAUUUGUAAGCAGAUCUCGCCCCCAUUGACUACCAUUGGAACAACUUGAGGGCCCAACUUGGAGUACCUGCUGGAUGCGGCUCUGUUCUGGCCACGGGUCUGUCCCUUGUGCUUCCUCUCCAAUGGACACCUGCCAUUCAGAUAAUCAGUCCUCUUGCUCACAUGAGGCAAGUGACCAAGGCUCUCCUCUAGCGCCCUCUUGAGGCGAGACACCUCAUACUGCAGUGCGAGGAUAACCUCACUACUGUGAAGAGCACAAUGGAAAUAUGAUGGUUUCACAAACUGCAGAAUGGCUCUUUCCCAGCUGAACGUCUUCUCUUCCUUCAGUCACCUGGUUAUGCAUGGGAGUGGCGCCACCUGCUAAUGUGACAUUCUCUUUUGGAGCUCUAACAGAGUUCCCAGCAGACACUUCUACAGAAGAGAAGGAGGCUUCACUGGGUCUGAAUUUCUCUUCGCACCUGAGAGAGGAAUGACGAUCACAUCAGCCAUCAAAAUCAAGCAGUGAUCUUCAAGAGAAGAAUUAAACAAGGGACUGGAUAUAUUGCGACCCCUGUAAUUCUGCAUUUCCAGUGCACGAUGCUCCUCCCUCUUUGUGAGGUAAUUUCUCUCCAGCUGAUCCUGGGCCUCCAUCAUGCUCUUCAGCACCUGUUGAGAUAUCCACCAAAUAAGAUGAAAAUUUGGGGGCUAUAAACCUACAACUGCUUGAUUUGAAUUUUGAUCUUCUGAUUAAACAGUGCAUUAUGAAAA